GACGAACGCUGGCGGCGUGCCUAAUACAUGCAAGUAGAACGCACAGUUUAUACCGUAGCUUGCUACACCAUACACUGUGAGUUGCGAACGGGUGAGUAACGCGUAGGUAACCUGCCUGGUAGCGGGGGAUAACUAUUGGAAACGAUAGCUAAUACCGCAUAAUAUUGAUUAUUGCAUGAUAAUUGAUUGAAAGAUGCUAUUGCAUCACUACCAGAUGGACCUGCGUUGUAUUAGCUAGUAGGUGAGGUAACGGCUCACCUAGGCGACGAUACAUAGCCGACCUGAGAGGGUGAUCGGCCACACUGGGACUGAGACACGGCCCAGACUCCUACGGGAGGCAGCAGUAGGGAAUCUUCGGCAAUGGACGAAAGUCUGACCGAGCAACGCCGCGUGAGUGAAGAAGGGUUUCGGAUCGUAAAGCUCGGUUGUAAGAGAAGAACGGGUGUGAGAGUGGAAAGUUCACACUGUGACGGUAUCUUACCAGAAAGGGACGGCUAACUACGUG
rnacentral:rRNA from 1 species